rnacentral:rRNA from 1 species
UACGGAAGGGGCAAGCGUUGUUCGGAAUCAUUGGGCGUAAAGGGCGCGCAGGUGGUUCUGUAUGUCUGCCGUGAAAGCAUACAGCUCAACUGUAUUGUGUCGGUAGAAACUGCAGGACUUGAGGCUGGGAGGGGCUGGUGGAAUUCCCUGUGUAGCGGUGAAAUGCGUAGAGAUGGGGGAGAACACUCGUGGCGAAGGCGGCCAGCUAGACCAGUUCUGACACUGAGGCGCGACAGCGUGGGGAGCAAACAGG